AACGAACGCUGGCGGCGUGGAUUAGGCAUGCAAGUCGUGCGAGAAAGGGUAGCAAUACCCGAGUAAAGCGGCGAACUGGUGAGUAACAGGUGGGUAAUGUGCCCUUAAGUGGGGGAUAACACCGGGAAACCGGUGCUAAUACCGCAUGUGAUCAUCGGGCCCGAGGGUCUGGUGAUUAAAGCAGCAAUGCGCUUGAGGAUCGGCCCGCCCCCGAUUAGCUAGUUGGUGAGGUCAAGGCUCACCAAGGCAUCGAUCGGUAGCUGGUCUGAGAGGAUGGUCAGCCACACUGGGACUGAGAUACGGCCCAGACUCCUACGGGUGGCUG
rnacentral:rRNA from 1 species